CGUAGGUGACCUGCGGAAGGGAUCAUUA
rnacentral:rRNA from 1 species